rnacentral:piRNA from 1 species
UUGCAGAAACCACACAUCUGCAGC